rnacentral:rRNA from 1 species
AGAGUUUGAUCCUGGCUCAGGACGAACGCUGGCGGCGCGCCUAACACAUGCAAGUCGAACGAAGUUUGCAGGAUUGAUCCUUCGGGUGAUUGAGCGUAAACUUAGUGGCGGACGGGUGAGUAACACGUGAGCAACCUGCCCUACAGUGGGGGAUAACGUUUUGAAAAGAACGCUAAUACCGCAUAACGUAUCGGAGAGGCAUCUUUCUGAUACCAAAGGAGCAAUCCGCUGUAAGAUGGGCUCGCGUCCGAUUAGCCAGUUGGCGGGGUAACGGCCCACCAAAGCGACGAUCGGUAGCCGGACUGAGAGGUUGAACGGCCACAUUGGGACUGAGACACGGCCCAGACUCCUACGGGAGGCAGCAGUGAGGGAUAUUGGGCAAUGGGGGAAACCCUGACCCAGCAACGCCGCGUGAGGGAUGACGGUUUUCGGAUUGUAAACCUCUGUCCUCUGUGAAGAUAGUGACGGUAGCAGAGGAGGAAGCUCCGGCUAACUACGUGCCAGCAGCCGCGGUAAUACGUAGGGAGCAAGCGUUGUCCGGAUUUACUGGGUGUAAAGGGUGCGUAGGCGGAUUGGCAAGUCAGAAGUGAAAUCCAUGGGCUUAACCCAUGAACUGCUUUUGAAACUGUUAGUCUUGAGUGAAGUAGAGGUAGGCGGAAUUCCCGGUGUAGCGGUGAAAUGCGUAGAGAUCGGGAGGAACACCAGUGGCGAAGGCGGCCUACUGGGCUUUAACUGACGCUGAGGCACGAAAGUGUGGGUAGCAAACAGGAUUAGAUACCCUGGUAGUCCACACUGUAAACGAUGAU